rnacentral:rRNA from 1 species
GACGAACGCUGGCGGCGUGCUUAACACAUGCAAGUCGAACGGAAAGGCCCUGCUUUUGUGGGGUGCUCGAGUGGCGAACGGGUGAGUAACACGUGAGUAACCUGCCCUUGACUUUGGGAUAACUUCAGGAAACUGGGGCUAAUACCGGAUAGGAGCUCCUGCUGCAUGGUGGGGGUUGGAAAGUUUCGGCGGUUGGGGAUGGACUCGCGGCUUAUCAGCUUGUUGGUGGGGUAGUGGCUUACCAAGGCUUUGACGGGUAGCCGGCCUGAGGGGGUGACCGGCCACAUUGGGACGGAGAUACGGCCCAGACUCCUACGGGAGGCAGGAGGGGGGAAUAUUGCACGAUGGGCGGAAGCCUGAUGCAGCAACGCCGCGUGCGGGAUGACGGCCUUCGGGUGGUAAACCGCUUUCGCCUGUGACGAAGCGUGAGUGACGGUAAUGGGUAAAGAAGCACCGGCUAACUACGU